rnacentral:rRNA from 1 species
ACACGUGCUACAAUGGUUGGUACAACGAGUUGCGAGUCGGUGACGGGCGAGCUAAUCUCUUAAAGCCAAUCUCAGUUCGGAUUGUAGGCUGCAACUCGCCUACAUGAAGUCGGAAUCGCUAGUAAUCGCGGAUCAGCACGCCGCGGUGAAUACGUUCCCGGGCCUU